CAUGCAAGUCGAACGAACUCUGGUAUUGAUUGGUGCUUGCAUCAUGAUUUACAUUUGAGUGAGUGGCGAACUGGUGAGUAACACGUGGGAAACCUGCCCAGAAGCGGGGGAUAACACCUGGAAACAGAUGCUAAUACCGCAUAACAACUUGGACCGCAUGGUCCGAGUUUGAAAGAUGGCUUCGGCUAUCACUUUUGGAUGGUCCCGCGGCGUAUUAGCUAGAUGGUGAGGUAACGGCUCACCAUGGCAAUGAUACGUAGCCGACCUGAGAGGGUAAUCGGCCACAUUGGGACUGAGACACGGCCCAAACUCCUACGGGAGGCAGCAGUAGGGAAUCUUCCACAAUGGACGAAAGUCUGAUGGAGCAACGCCGCGUGAGUGAAGAAGGGUUUCGGCUCGUAAAACUCUGUUGUUAAAGAAGAACAUAUCUGAGAGUAACUGUUCAGGUAUUGACGGUAUUUAACCAGAAAGCCACGGCUAACUACGUGCCAGCAGCCGCGGUAAUACGUAGGUGGCAAGCGUUGUCCGGAUUWAWUGGGCGUAAAGCGAGCGCAGGCGGUUUUUUAAGUCUGAUGUGAAAGCCUUCGGCUCAACCGAAGAAAGUGCAUCGGAAACUGGGAAACUUGAGUGCAGAAGAGGACAGUGGAACUCCAUGUGUAGCGGUGAAAUGCGUAGAUAUAUGGAAGAACACCAGUGGCGAAGGCGGCUGUCUGGUCUGUAACUGACGCUGAGGCUCGAAAGUAUGGGUAGCAAACAGGAUUAGAUACCCUGGUAGUCCAUACCGUAAACGAUGAAUGCUAAGUGUUGGAGGGUUUCCGCCCUUCAGUGCUGCAGCUAACGCAUUAAGCAUUCCGCCUGGGGAGUACGGCCGCAAGGCUGAAACUCAAAGGAAUUGACGGGGGCCCGCACAAGCGGUGGAGCAUGUGGUUUAAUUCGAAGCUACGCGAAGAACCUUACCAGGUCUUGACAUACUAUGCAAAUCUAAGAGAUUAGACGUUCCCUUCGGGGACAUGGAUACAGGUGGUGCAUGGUUGUCGUCAGCUCGUGUCGUGAGAUGUUGGGUUAAGUCCCGCAACGAGCGCAACCCUUAUUAUCAGUUGCCAGCAUUAAGUUGGGCACUCUGGUGAGACUGCCGGUGACAAACCGGAGGAAGGUGGGGAUGACGUCAAAUCAUCAUGCCCCUUAUGACCUGGGCUACACACGUGCUACAAUGGAUGGUACAACGAGUUGCGAACUCGCGAGAGUAAGCUAAUCUCUUAAAGCCAUUCUCAGUUCGGAUUGUAGGCUGCAACUCGCCUACAUGAAGUCGGAAUCGCUAGUAAUCGCGGAUCAGCAUGCCGCG
rnacentral:rRNA from 2 species